rnacentral:rRNA from 1 species
UACGUAGGGGGCAAGCGUUGUCCGGAAUCAUUGGGCGUAAAGAGCGCGUAGGCGGCCCUGUAAGUCUGCUGUGAAAGUCCAGGGCUCAACCCUGGGAUGCCGGUGGAUACUGUCGGGCUCGAGUCCGGAAGAGGCGAGUGGAAUUCCUGGUGUAGCGGUGAAAUGCGCAGAUAUCAGGAGGAACACCAAUGGCGAAGGCAGCUCGCUGGGACGUGACUGACGCUGAGACGCGAAAAGCGUGGGGGAGAAACAGG